rnacentral:snRNA from 1 species
AGCUAACAAGAACUCUUUCUUUU